rnacentral:rRNA from 1 species
AGAGUUUGAUCCUGGCUCAGAUUGAACGCUGGCGGCAUGCCUUACACAUGCAAGUCGAACGGCAGCGGGGGAGCUUGCUCCUGCCGGCGAGUGGCGAACGGGUGAGUAAUGCAUCGGAACGUGUCCUGUCGUGGGGGAUAACUGGCCGAAAGGUCAGCUAAUACCGCAUGAGACCCGAGGGUGAAAGCGGGGGAUCGCAAGACCUCGCGCGACUGGAGCGGCCGAUGUCUGAUUAGCUGGUUGGUGGGGUAAAAGCUUACCAAGGCGACGAUCAGUAGCUGGUCUGAGAGGAUGAUCAGCCACAUUGGGACUGAGACACGGCCCAGACUCCUACGGGAGGCAGCAGUGGGGAAUUUUGGACAAUGGGGGAAACCCUGAUCCAGCCAUGCCGCGUGCGGGAUGAAGGCCUUCGGGUUGUAAACCGCUUUUGUCAGAGACGAAAAGGGACCCGUGAACAACGGGUUCCGCUGACGGUAUCUGAAGAAUAAGCACCGGCUAACUACGUGCCAGCAGCCGCGGUAAUACGUAGGGUGCGAGCGUUAAUCGGAAUUACUGGGCGUAAAGGGUGCGCAGGCGGCUGCGCAAGACAGAUGUGAAAUCCCCGGGCUUAACCUGGGAACUGCAUUUGUGACUGCACAGCUAGAGUUUGUCAGAGGAGGGUGGAAUUCCGCGUGUAGCAGUGAAAUGCGUAGAUAUGCGGAAGAACACCAAUGGCGAAGGCAGCCCUCUGGGACAUGACUGACGCUCAUGCACGAAAGCGUGGGGAGCAAACGGGAUUAGAUACCCCGGUAGUCCACGCCCUAAACGAUGUCAGCUGAUUGUUCGGGAAGCAAUUCCUGAGUAACCAAGCCAACGCGUGAAGCUGACCGCCUGGGGAGUACGGUCGCAAGAUUAAAACUCAAAGGAAUUGACGG